UAUUUGGUAGAAACAAAAUUAAAAAUUCAAACUUUCCUUUGGUCUCCCAAUGUCACUCAGAUUACUCUCUUCAAAAACAAAAAGAAGAUAAAAAGAAAAAAGCUUCAUUUUAGGUAGAUCUCCACACACCAACAAUAGAUUCAUUUUCUUCUUCUCAUAACCUCACUACAAUCUACCAUCUUCACAUGUCUUUUUUCACUCUCAUUAAUUUAUCUCCUUCUAAUUCUCUUCAUCUCAUAAUUACUCAUGGAAACACUACUAUACAAAAAUGACUAAAAAACACUACAUCCAUUUUUUUUCCUGCAACUUAUUUUCUCUCACACUCACCAUUCUCUUUUAAAUCAUUAUAACAUCAUUUCCUUCACCAUACUCACACUUCUUUCACCAUCAAAGAACCAUAACUUCACAAAAUAAAUAAAUCAUAUCUAUUCACACUAACCAUAUACAUAUAUACAUUCUGAUUUUUAAUCUAUUU
rnacentral:lncRNA from 1 species